rnacentral:rRNA from 1 species
AGCGUAGACGGUGUGGCAAGUCUGAUGUGAAAGGCAUGGGCUCAACCUGUGGACUGCAUUGGAAACUGUCAUACUUGAGUGCCGGAGGGGUAAGCGGAAUUCCUAGUGUAGCGGUGAAAUGCGUAGAUAUUAGGAGGAACACCAGUGGCGAAGGCGGCUCUCUGGCCUGUAACUGACACUGAGGCUCGAAAGGCGUGGGAGCAAACA